rnacentral:rRNA from 1 species
GAUCAUGGCUCAGGAUGAACGCUAGCUACAGGCUUAACACAUGCAAGUCGAGGGGCAGCAUGGUCUUAGCUUGCUAAGACUGAUGGCGACCGGCGCACGGGUGAGUAACACGUAUCCAACCUGCCGUCUACUCUUGGACAGCCUUCUGAAAGGAAGAUUAAUACAAGAUGGCAUCAUGAGUCCGCAUGUUCACAUGAAUUAAAGGUUAUUCCGGUAGACGAG